rnacentral:rRNA from 1 species
UACGUAGGGUGCGAGCGUUGUCCGGAAUUAUUGGGCGUAAAGAGCUCGUAGGCGGUUUGUCGCGUCGGCCGUGAAAACUUGGGGCUUAACCCCGAGCCUGCGGUCGAUACGGGCAGACUUGAGUUCGGCAGGGGAGACUGGAAUUCCUGGUGUAGCGGUGAAAUGCGUAGAUAUCAGGAGGAACACCGGCGGUGUAGACGGCUAUCUGGACAGUAACUGACGCUGAGACACGAAAGCGUGGGGAGCAAACAGG